rnacentral:lncRNA from 1 species
AUUUAUUCAUGUAUGCUUUAUUUAUUCUAACUGUGUCAUGGUAGAAUAUAUAUUGAUAAAAAACAUGCAUACACUGAGUAGUAUGAAAUGAUCGGGGAGUAUGUGCUGCUGAGGGACAGGAGCAGAGCGGAGCAACACCUCUGCCAGAGCCUGCCAUACCUGGAGAACCUGGACGCAUCCUUGCGGGAGGCAGCUGUGAGGUUCAUUGGGCUCAUCGGGCAGCAAGUGAAGAAGCGGAGGAAGGAGAAGGUGCAGGAGAUGUGCACUGCCCUCCAGCCCCUGGAAAAUGAUGCAGAACCUUUAGUCCGUUGCCUGGUGUCACAGACCAUCAUGAACCUGAGGGUGCCAAGGAGAACAUCAAGAUUCCACCUCGGAGCACUGUGUCCCUGGCUCCCGAGAGCAUGGGCGAGGUGGCACCCUCCCACCAGGACGUGACUCUGUUUGAGCAGAGCUGACGCAGCUGUGCCAAUGCCAUGGUGCUGCACACCACGGACACACGCAAGUGUGCUGGAAGGUCUGGCUCAUUGCUGGCAUCUCCCGCCGCCCCAGGACAGCUCGACUCCUCAAGCACAGCCCCUGUUGUGCUACCACUUCAUGGCUUUGUUGUGCUUCCCGCAAAGAUACAGCCCCGUUUCCUCAGCCGGAGUGAGUGUUCUUUUUUCAGGGAGCCAAAGGCAAGGGGCAAAACUUGCUGCCUGCAAGAAUCUGGCUUGUCCUGGGCGGGACGGUGUGUCCGCUUGUUCCAAUAUCCCAGGCCAGCAUAGAGCAGCCUGAC